UUGAAAGAAUCACAAAUAAGAACCAAAUUCCGCAAGGAUAAUAUAUUCCAAGAGGAUCAAAUCUCUCUCUCUCUCUAUCUUAAGAUUCCAUUCCAAUCUUCAAACCUACUCCAAUUAUUAAAAAAAAAACAUUCUAUGAGAAUUACUGAAUUCUGUUUUAACAGCAUCUGUUACUGUUGUCUCCAUCGAAUUACUAUGCCUUACGCAACUGAAUUGAAAAGUUAGGUAACGGUCUGAUGAGUGUUCGAGCAAGUGAGACACAAAACCUACCGAAGAAAAAUAGCGCAUUAAAUAUUCGAAUUAAUUAAGACAACUUCGUUAAAGUAAGAUAAUAUUAUUAACUCUUAGAUUCAUCAACAUCUGUAUACCUUCGAAAGCCUAACCUCUAUAUAUUGGCAUUUUCCACAAAACAAUUCUUAUGUGAUAAUUUGACACAAAACAAUAUUCUUCUAUAUUUGUAUACCUCAUGUAACUAUAAACCAAUAUUAUUUUCUAUUGAUAAAAAAAGAGUCGGGAUAGCUAGGCAUUUGAUUUAUGUUGAAUAACUAAGUUAGCUGAAGUAAAUUAAAAGAAUAAAUAUCCUAUAUUUGCUUUCUUUCUAGUUCAUAUAUAUACAUAUUCGAUAUUAGUGGUGGUAGAGGCAUAUAGUUGCGAUUUCUUGUACUUGCAAGCAAUCCCAAUCAACUUAGUGAUUAUCGAUUGAGUGAAAUUAAGUAACAACUUUAUUAUCAUCUUUUAAUUUUUUUAAGGAUUGUUUUCAUGUUCCGUAUGCCACAAGGAAAGAUAAAGAAUAUUUUUCCCGACACAAAGAGAGAAAUUUCCAUUUGGAUUCUUCGUACGGCAUUAUUGCUAUUAGUCAUUAGAUAUAGUGGAUAGUGGAUUUGUUCAAAUGUUUUGUUCUGUUUUCCCCACAAGUUACUCUUUGACUCUGAUUAUAUAGGGAUAAAAGAUAUUAAAUUAGUACCGGUGUAGCACAAAUUUUUGUAUACAGAACAUUUUGAACUAUAUAUAAUCUAAUACUCUAUCAAGUAUCAACCAUAACAAAUAUGAUACUACAAUCAAAUAAAAGAGAAUAACCAUGAAUGGCGCAUACAUUCAUGUGAUUUAAAAUACAUUUAAUUAAUUUGAUUUUAAACCAAAUACAUAUUAAUUGUCUAAUUGGUAACGAUACAGUGAAGAACUAAUUAUAAAUUUUCUGAAAAAUUCUACUGGAACAACAUCGAAUUAAACAUGAUGUUAAUAAAUUACUUAGCAAAACAUAAAAGUGGGGUGUUCUAUUUGUUCCAGAAAUAAAAUACCAUUCUAUUUAUGUAAAGUUAUGAAAAGAUAAAUGACUUUAGAAAAGAAAAAGAAAAACAGAUGAUAAAUGACUUGUUUUUGGAACCAAGAAAAAAUAGGAAAUCUGAUAGAUCAACAGUGACUUUUUUUGUUAAGUUACUUGUCUUAAUCCCAAACUUAUACAAACAUUCACUUAAAACUUAAUAAUUUUAAAUUUUGUGGUUAUUCAACCUAUUUUCAUUAUUUAAUUAUAUUAUUUGAAAAUUAAAAAAAAAAUGGUUGAUGAUUUGAAAUACAAGAUGGUGAGAACUUAUUUUGCUUAUAAAUAUGUAUAUAUAUGAUUAGAGAUAAGUGGUACGAUAAAGAGUGAUAUACAAUACGAUAGUAGUCCGAUAAUGAGAUUUGACUUUCAUCUCUACUUUCCCCUAGUUCACAGUCACAAUGACGAUCCUGGUUGUGACAUAUCGAUGUAUCAUGUAUAAUGUAUAUAUAUGUGUACAAUAAGCAAAGUGCAUCUCAAAAUUACCUUUUUUUUUUUUUUUUGCAAUUUCAGUAAUAAUAUUCAAAAGAAAAGAAAUAUACACAUCAUGAAAAAAUGAUUAAAGAAAAGAGGAGAAAAUAAAGAAGGAAGAGAAGGUGGAAAGAGUCGUAUAAUGCUGACUUGUGUUUCGUGAGAUUCAAAUUUGUAUAAAAUUCCAAAUGGGCUGCGACUUGGAAGACGUGGGAGACCCACACACUUUCACAAAUCUUCCAUUACCCACACGCCUUUUUCUUACUUAUAUCGCAUGGUUAUGUCUUAUGUGUCACUUCCACCAACCACAUUCAAUAUGUAUGUAUAUCCAUCUUAGAUUUAUUGUCUUAAUGUUAGACUAAAUAAAACUAAUAAAGGAACUCUAGCUAGCUAGUAGUUAGUUGUAAGAGAAUAUAAUUUGUCCAUUAACUAGACUCGUUUAACCCAAGUGCGAUUGGCUAUGAACUAGUUAGAGGAGUGCUUUUAUAGAGCUACCAGACCGAGUUGGCGAGUUCGAGUCUGAGGUAGACUGGUAUGAAUGUCUGAUCAAAAAAAAAAUAAUAAUAAUAAUAAUAAUUGCAUGCAUGUCAAUAAGACAAUAAGUGAAUGUGGUUAUAGUGUUAUACUCAAAUGCUAAAUGCAUACACAAACGUAAACAUUAGUAUAGACAUAAACGCUGAAAGCGCUAAAUGUAAGCAUGCAUAUUACUUUGUCAACUCAAUUCAAUAAGACUUGAUCCAACCGAUCCAAAUCUAAACUUGAUAUAAAAGCUAAUGAAUAUAUUGACCCAAACUAGUGUAAAUAGCCAAACAUAAUUGAGAACACAAAAAAAGACAGCGCAUAAAAUGAGAUUUAAUACUAAGAACAUUUUCACAAGAAACACUAAAGUGCAUCAUCAUUUAUCAAAAAAUUAGAGCUAUAUAUAUAUAUCCUGAAAUCCAAUUCUUUUCUUUUUUCUCUCCCAACCACCACACCAUAAUUAAACUACAUAAAACAAGAAUGAACCUAGUUGGGUAAGCAAACUCAAAUAAACCCAAAUUGCAAGAGAAUCUAUUUAUAAUUUAUUCGUCAAUAUAGUUUUAUUUGGGUUUAGAGUCAGAAUCUCUUUAUGGCUCUUGCCCGUUCCCAUAAGUCCUAUUACAAAGCACUUAAAGAAGAGGGUGACGUCAGUCCCCAAAGACAUGUUGCCUAGACUCUAAGCAAAAACUUGAGAUGUGACUCUUCCCUUAUUCAUUUCUUGAUGACAACACAAACCUAAACCCCUUAAUUACUUAAUUAAGACCCCAAGUGUCUAUUUUGAUCACCAGUCGGAUACAAAAUCAAAACGUUAAGAAGAAAACUUUGAAGUUGGUAAUUCAACCAGUUAAAUCUAUCGUGGGAGGUAGGCCAAGUUAAGCCAAAAACCAACCAAUCAAAAAGAGAACAAAAUUACAUGCUUUGAUCUCCAGUCCAAAACAUUUUGUCGGUAAGAUUCAGAAUCUCUUGGUUAGUAAAAUAUAGAUAAAAACACGCGAAAAAGAUAGUGUUUGAUAUUUUGUGUAGAGGUUGCGUGCGAAGAAGCAAAACCCCUUGUGAGGGAGUGACUUGAGGAUCAGCUUCAGCUUUCUGAGACAUAAUGACAAAUAACAAAUGGGUUUGAUAUAGGAGUAGUUUUACUUACAUCACAUGUUUAGCUUUCCUCUUGUGGUCCUCUUUCUUUCCUCCAAUCUCCAAGCAAAAUCCUACACAUCUCUUGAAAAUUUUGUAAAACCAUGGACCCCAUUAAAGAUUCAGUUGUAUCUUCCUUAAUUGACUCUUUUUUGAGGCAUGAUUAGACUUUUAUAGCGAAGAACUUAUCACAAAACUUCAUCAAAGCCUUAAAAUUCUUGCUAUAGAUAGACAUCUAAAAAAAUGGUCCCAAAUAACCUAACAAAGCCACUUCACACGCUGAAGAGGCAACUCUCACUGUUACCAGAUUCCAACAAAACAGAAGAGGCUUCUGUGAUUAGAAGCAAUUUGAACAUUUAAACAACAGACAAGGCAUAUGCUUGGUGACAACUACAGUUGCACACCUGUAUUGCACUAAAAUUUAUCUGCCUUUUUACCUUUGCACGCAACUCCCUAUUCACCAGUCUAUCAAACUCCAAAAAAACAAAAAAAAUCAAACUUCAUCAAGUUGCUGAGGGAUUAUGAACAUGACUUGAUGUUACCCUUAAUCAAAGACUCACAGGAGAAGUGUAAUACUUUUGUAAGGCCCUGC
rnacentral:lncRNA from 1 species